AGGUGACUGCCGGUGACAAACCGGAGGAAGGUGGGGAUGACGUCAAAUCAUCAUGCCCCUUAUGACCUGGGCUACACACGUGCUACAAUGGAUGGUACAAAGGGCUGCAAAACCGCGAGGUUAAGCGAAUCCCAUAAAACCAUUCUCAGUUCGGAUUGUAGGCUGCAACUCGCCUACAUGAAGCCGGAAUCGCUAGUAAUCGCGGAUCAGCAUGCCGCGGUGAAUACGUUCCCGGGCCUUGUACACACCGCCCGUCACACCACGAGAGUUUGUAACACCCGAAGUCGGUGGGGUAACCUAACUGGAGCCAGCCGCCUAAGGUGGGACAGAUGAUUGGGGUGAAGUCGUAACAAGGUAGCCGUAUCGGAAGGUGCGGCUGGAUCACCUCCUUU
rnacentral:ncRNA from 1 species